UCAUAUCAGCCAACAACUUAAUCAGCACUUCCUAUAAGACUUCAAAUUCAGCAAGUAGAAAGCACAGACUUUCAAAAAGAUAUAUUGCCCACUAAUUUUGAUCGUUCACUUUCCCAAUACCUAUAGCAAUAUUCCAAAUUGCUGUAAUAUGAGAUACUAAAGUAUAUUUCAACUGAAAAACAAGGAAUCAUGAUGAGAUUAGGGAUACAUAAAAGGUAUGUUUUGCUUUUAUAAAGUGAAAGAAGACGAGUCAUGAAAGAAGAACUUGGAAAGACGUGUUUGAGAAUUGGCCUCUCAGCUGAAUUCAUAGAACCUCUAAGGCCAUGGAAGGAAGAGAAGAAUGAACAAGUUAUGAGCAAUGAGAGAAAAAUGACUAAGACAGCAUCCCCUCCAACAAACCAUGCCUGAUGGAAUUCAGACCCUUGUGCGGCCUGUCCCCGUGAACUGGACGUGGAGCCUCGAGCUCAGCUGUUUCAGCUGACGCCGUAUAAAUCAUAUACUGCCUUCAGUUGAGAUCUUCAGUGACCA
rnacentral:lncRNA from 1 species